UGUGUUCCACCCAAUAGAUGACUGUGAACAUCCACUUCUAUAUUUUCCAGGAACUGGCAUAGCCUCACACAAGACAGGUAUAUCAGGGUCCUUUCAGCAAAGGUGUCAAAGCCAUGCUACCAAGAAGUUGAAUGACUUGCCAAUGGACACAGACCAUCUGGUUUUUUUUUUUUUUCUUACAGAUUCUCAUUUAGAAUGCAACCUCUAAUUAGAGUCAAAACCUCCCAUUUACAGACAAAUGAUGGUAACAAAAAUAGAAGCUGUGGAAAGAUAAAUCUCAGAAAGAUUCUAUCUAAUUUCUUACAUGUACUCUGCCAUCUCAAUUCCUAUAAAAUGAAAAUUUAUAUUCCCAAGAAUAAUCCCAUGCUGUCUUAUAAAUCACUGAAGAAAGAUUUCAUUUCAUUCAGUCCCAUUAGGUGUAUUUAUUGUUCUCUGAAUCAUUGGUACGGGAUACAGAUGACAACCCUUAGAAGGCCAGAAUAUCACAAUAAAAAGAAAAAAUCCAUUUUCUAGCCUUUUUAUGGUCACCAGUGACUACUGUACUAGUCUAAGGCCCAAACACUGAUAAGAAAACUAGUAAGGUUGCUUUGAAUGCAAGAUCUCUAGGCUCUAACACUCUUUUGAGUGUGUACACUCCUGGAAGUGAGGUGAUGCAAUGUUGUAGUGUAAGAAACCAUUGUCCGGUUAAGCCCUCAGCAUUAUUUGUCUCUUGAAUGGUGGCCCAUGCAUAAAAGGCCUGGAUUUGAUGUGGUGCUGUUGGGAAUUAGUGAAAACUUUAGGGGUUUGAAAGUAAUAGAAGACAGUUAGGUUAUUGGGUGUGUGCCCUUGAAGGGCAUAUACAGAACGUUUUCAUUCCUUUUUCAGUUUUUGAACCUACAUUCAUUCUCUGAUAUGCACUUGUUGAUAAUAUACUAAGUUACCAAAAUCCCAAAGCAGUGGAACUAAGCAGGCAUUGGCUGAGACUGUAAAAAGUGGAUUGUCAGAGGUGUACUGGUUACUUUUCUAUUGUGAUGAAACACAAUGACCAAGGCAACUCAUAAUAGUUGGGCUUGUGCUUACAGAGGAACAGAGUCUACGGGCAAGGGUAAAAUCAUGGGACAUGUGACUUGAGCAGCAGCUGAGACCUCUUAUCUGAUCCACAAGCAGGAGGCAGAGAGCUACCUCAGAAGUGUGACAAGUCUCUUGAAACCUUAAACCGACUUCCAGUGACACACAUCCUCCAACAAGGCUACAUCUUCUUAUCUUUCCCCAAUAGUUUACCAAGUAUUCAAGCAUAUGGGCCGAUAGGAGCUAUGCUCACUUGAACCACUUCAUGUCCUCAGUUUGAGCAGUGAUGGAAAUAUGAGUAACUUAUUCAAUAAGACCUUGUGAAUAUAAUGCACAUUCAGACUUUGACAAGUUAUAUCACUUAAUUGCUGUGUUGGAACUCAAACUUUUUUUUUUUUUUUUUUUGGUAUUUGGUUUCUUGAGACAGAGUUUCUCUGUACAGCCCGGGCUGUCCUGAAACUCACUUUGUAGACCAGGCUGGCCUGGAACUCAGAAAUCUGCCUGCCUCUGCCUCCAGAGUGCUGGGAUUAAAGGCGUGCACCACCACACCCGGCAAACCUUUUUUUUUUUUUUAAGACUUUAUUUAUUAUACAUAAGUACACUGUAACUGACUUCAGACGCACCAGAAGAGGGCGUCAGAUGUCAUUACAGAUGGUUGUGAACCAUCAUGUGGUUGCUGGGAUUUGAUCUCAGGACCUUCGGAAGAGCAGUCAGUGCUCUUACCCACUGAGCCAUCUCACCAGCCCCCGGAACUCAAACUUUUAUAAUGCAAUUUAGAUAUUUUUUCAAGAAUGUUUCAAUAUCAUGCUUUAUCAUUCAGACAAAUGAGAUUAGGAUUUCUUUCCUUCCAUUCCAAAUUAAUUCAACUUCAUUAUGAUAUUUCCAUCCUUUUUAACAUCAGAAAUGGCAUUGUGCAUAAGAGCUGUAUGCCUGUGAUCCUCAAUGGCCUUCUACUUAUAAAUGAACAUUCUUGAACUAGGAAUAUGGCUCAGCAGAUAAAGUGCUUGCUGGGGAUGCAGGAGAAUUACUUUGAUCAUCACAACUCACAUUUUAACAAAUGCCAGGCAUGAUGGCACAUGAUUGUAAUCUCAGUUCAUGUAAGGGAAAGUAGAGAUGGACAGAUCUUUGGAACUAAUUGGCCAGACAGCCUCUUCUAUUUUGCCAGUUCCAGGCCAAUGAAAGAACUUCUCUC
rnacentral:lncRNA from 1 species